CACCUAGGAACAACUCUACGCACGAUCUGUGAAGAAGUUUGGCCGAGACCUCAACCCAAAGGUAGAGAUCCGAGAAUCGUCCGAGAACGGGACCUAAUUUAAAGAAAUAAGUAUUUUUUGACACCUCACGGGCAAAGAAACGCUAG